rnacentral:misc_RNA from 1 species
GAUGAAGAACGCAGCGAAAUGCGAUAAGUAAUGUGAAUUGCAGAAUUCAGUGAAUCAUCGAAUCUUUGAACGCACAUUGCGCCCGCUAGUAUUCUGGCGGGCAUGCCUGUCCGAGCGUCAUUUCAACCCUCAAGCCCCCGGGCUUGGUGUUGGGGAUCGGCGAGCCUCCGCGCCCGCCGUCCCCUAAAUCUAGUGGCGGUCUCGCUGUAGCUUCCUCUGCGUAGUAGCACACCUCGCACUGGGAAACAGCGCGGCCACGCCGUUAAACCCCCAACUUCUGAACGUUUGACCUCGGAUCAGGUACGAAUACCCGCUGAACUUAAGCAUAUCAAUAAGCGGAGGA